rnacentral:sRNA from 1 species
AAAUAGCCCCGAUUGCAGCAAGUAUCCUUUUUUUUUUGAGGGAAAGCCUCUCGACUGCGCUCGAGGUGACAAAAAAAAAGAUACUGCGAAAAGCGGGACACGAG